rnacentral:rRNA from 1 species
UAGAGUAUGUUUAAACGCUAGAAGCUUUUCUUGGCAGUGUGACGUCACUAACUUCGCUACUAAACUUCGCUCCCCAUCACAGCUCAAUGUUAUAGAAUUAAGCAUUUGACUCAAUUCACACCUCACUGCUUAGACAGACUCUUCCAAUCGUCUGCUUUAGUUAGCCUACUGCGUCCCUCCAUCACUACAUACUCUAGUACAGGAAUAUCAACCUGUUGUCCAUCGGAUACACCUUUCGGUCUCUCCUUAGGUCCCGACUAACCCAGGGCGGACGAGCCUUCCCCUGGAAACCUUAGUCUUACGGUGGACAGGAUUCUCACCUGUCUUUCGCUACUCAUACCGGCAUUCUCACUUCUAUGCGUUCCAGCACUCCUCACGGUAUACCUUCAUCACACAUAGAACGCUCUCCUACCAUACCUAUAAAGGUAUCCACAGCUUCGGUAAAUUGUUUUAGCCCCGGUACAUUUUCGGCGCAGGGUCACUCGACUAGUGAGCUAUUACGCACUCUUUGAAUGAAUAGCUGCUUCUAAGCUAACAUCCUAGUUGUCUGUGCAACCCCACAUCCUUUUCCACUUAACAAUUAUUUUGGGACCUUAGCUGGUGGUCUGGGCUGUUUCCCUUUCGACUACGGAUCUUAGCACUCGCAGUCUGACUGCCGACCAUAAUUCAUUGGCAUUCGGAGUUUAUCUGAGAUUGGUAAUCCGGGAUGGACCCCUCACCCAAACAGUGCUCUACCUCCAAGAAUCUCUAAUGUCGACGCUAGCCCUAAAGCUAUUUCGGAGAGAACCAGCUAUCUCCAAGUUCGUUUGGAAUUUCUCCGCUACCCACAAGUCAUCCAAGCACUUUUCAACGUGCCCUGGUUCGGUCCUCCAGUGCGUCUUACCGCACCUUCAACCUGCUCAUGGGUAGGUCACAUGGUUUCGGGUCUACGUCAUGAUACUAAGGCGCCCUAUUCAGACUCGGUUUCCCUACGGCUCCGUCUCUUCAACUUAACCUCGCAUCAUAACGUAACUCGCCGGUUCAUUCUACAAAAGGCACGCUCUCACCCAUUAACGGGCUCGAACUUGUUGUAGGCACACGGUUUCAGGUUCUAUUUCACUCCCCUCCCGGGGUGCUUUUCACCUUUCCCUCACGGUACUGGUUCACUAUCGGUCACUAGGGAGUAUUUAGGGUUGGGAGAUGGUCCUCCCAGAUUCCGACGGGAUUUCACGUGUCCCGCCGUACUCAGGAUACUGCUAGGUACAAAGACUAUUUUAAAUACGAGGCUAUUACUCUCUUUGGCUGAUCUUCCCAAAUCAUUCUUCUAUAAUCUUUGAGUCCACAUUGCAGUCCUACAACCCCGAAGAGUAAACUCUUCGGUUUGCCCNCUCCCAACCCUAAAUACUCCCUAGUGACCGAUAGUGAACCAGUACCGUGAGGGAAAGGUGAAAAGCACCCCGGGAGGGGAGUGAAAUAGAACCUGAAACCGUGUGCCUACAACAAGUUCGAGCCCGUUAAUGGGUGAGAGCGUGCCUUUUGUAGAAUGAACCGGCGAGUUACGUUAUGAUGCGAGGUUAAGUUGAAGAGACGGAGCCGUAGGGAAACCGAGUCUGAAUAGGGCGCCUUAGUAUCAUGACGUAGACCCGAAACCAUGUGACCUACCCAUGAGCAGGUUGAAGGUGCGGUAAGACGCACUGGAGGACCGAACCAGGGCACGUUGAAAAGUGCUUGGAUGACUUGUGGGUAGCGGAGAAAUUCCAAACGAACUUGGAGAUAGCUGGUUCUCUCCGAAAUAGCUUUAGGGCUAGCGUCGACAUUAGAGAUUCUUGGAGGUAGAGCACUGUUUGGGUGAGGGGUCCAUCCCGGAUUACCAAUCUCAGAUAAACUCCGAAUGCCAAUGAAUUAUGGUCGGCAGUCAGACUGCGAGUGCUAAGAUCCGUAGUCGAAAGGGAAACAGCCCAGACCACCAGCUAAGGUCCCAAAAUAAUUGUUAAGUGGAAAAGGAUGUGGGGUUGCACAGACAACUAGGAUGUUAGCUUAGAAGCAGCUAUUCAUUCAAAGAGUGCGUAAUAGCUCACUAGUCGAGUGACCCUGCGCCGAAAAUGUACCGGGGCUAAAACAAUUUACCGAAGCUGUGGAUACCUUUAUAGGUAUGGUAGGAGAGCGUUCUAUGUGUGAUGAAGGUAUACCGUGAGGAGUGCUGGAACGCAUAGAAGUGAGAAUGCCGGUAUGAGUAGCGAAAGACAGGUGAGAAUCCUGUCCACCGUAAGACUAAGGUUUCCAGGGGAAGGCUCGUCCGCCCUGGGUUAGUCGGGACCUAAGGAGAGACCGAAAGGUGUAUCCGAUGGACAACAGGUUGAUAUUCCUGUACUAGAGUAUGUAGUGAUGGAGGGACGCAGUAGGCUAACUAAAGCAGACGAUUGGAAGAGUCUGUCUAAGCAGUGAGGUGUGAAUUGAGUCAAAUGCUUAAUUCUAUAACAUUGAGCUGUGAUGGGGAGCGAAGUUUAGUAGCGAAGUUAGU